GACGAACGCUGGCGGCGUGCUUAACACAUGCAAGUCGAACGGAAAGGCCCUGCUUUUGUGGGGUGCUCGAGUGGCGAACGGGUGAGUAACACGUGAGUAACCUGCCCUUUACUUUGGGAUAACUUCAGGAAACUGGGGCUAAUACCGGAUAUGAGCUCCUGCUGCAUGGUGGGGGUUGGAAAGUUUCGGCGGUUGGGGAUGGACUCGCGGCUUAUCAGCUUGUUGGUGGGGUAGUGGCUUACCAAGGCUUUGACGGGUAGCCGGCCUGAGAGGGUGACCGGCCACAUUGGGACUGAGAUACGGCCAAGACUCCUACGGGAGGCAGCAGUGGGGAAUAUUGCAAGAUGGGCGGAAGCCUGAUGCAGCAACGCCGCGUGCGGGAUGACGGCCUUAGGGUUGUAAACCGCUUUCGCCUGUGACGAAGCGUGAGUGACGGUAAUGGGUAAAGAAGCACCGGCUAACUACGUG
rnacentral:rRNA from 1 species